AAUUAAAUUGUUUAAUCUUUUAUGAUCCACUGUGAAAAAUUUUCAAAAUGCAUGCUUAAUUCGCCUGCUGUAAUCCUUCAACACCCCCACAUCUACGAUGGUGGAAGACCGCUAGAGUUAAUGUUGUGUGAGAAGAUUUUAAUUUAGGUCUCAUUGAUCUAAUUGUUUAUUUACAUCCGAUGUAAAUCCACAAUUACUAUGGAUCUACUUAAGAGAUCCUAACUUGAUUCACCAA
rnacentral:lncRNA from 1 species